AUUGCUCUGUGUGUGUGUGUGUGUGUGUGUGUGUGUGUGUGUGUGUGUGUGUGUGUGUGUGUGUGUGUGUGUGUGUGUGUGCGCGUCUUCCAUCAUAAACCCAUUUCUGCUACACUCUGUGUGGGUGGCUCGCAAAGGGCAUCCUAUUAAUUGAAUUGGGCGACAUAGCUCCUCUAAAAUAGCAAACAGCAACAAGUUGUGGGCUGCAGAAGGAAGACUCACAAAGGCUUGUUUCAUGACCGGAGUUUUCAAAAGACCAACUUUGAUGUGACUGACUUGAUCUGACAUAUGGGCUGAUUUUAUUCAGCUUCUUAAUUAGCCUAAAAAGCGCCCGCUUCUCUGCCACCAGCUCCCUGGUGCUCUUUUCACAGAGUGUUUACGCGUUGCUGUAAAGCAGGAGCCACCCUGGAUGUAUUAACAGGUGCACAUCCAGGAGUCAAGAAGGGGAUGAGACCUCCUCACCAAAAUACCUCAAACAUAGCGAAUGAAUUCAAGGGGACCCACUGUAGCACGGGAGGAAAAGCGAACAUUCAAGGUGCUGUCAUUUUUUACAUGCUUCCGUGAGGUCCUUGAUGCGCUGUAGAUUUACCACCUGUGAAUCUGGCAAUCAAGGAACUGAAUAGUCUGUUCAGCAGCUCUUGAUGAGUAAAGACGGUGGAAUGCUGAGAGCUGCUGUGCCAUUAAACAGCCGCGGCUGCGGUGCCACGGGGAGAGAAACAUAGAGAGCGAGACCGCCCGCUGUUCGUGAUAAGCCCAAACUGGACCGUUCAGUGGACGAGUCGACACCACGGCGGUCGUCUGCUCUCGCCCUUGGGUCAGCGUCAGUCAUCACCGGGGUCUCACGUCAUACUGACCUGCAUCAGAGCCUUCACGGAGUCAACAACCGCCGUUCGCCCCCCCCCCCCUCCCGCCUUCCUCAUGCUGUGACACGAGCUGCAGCGCCUGGAUGCCUCAAAUGAUUCCCCCGCAUCAAAAGGUAGGCUACCACAUCCAAACGGCCUUUUCAUCUGAAUAAUAAAACACGCGAACG
rnacentral:lncRNA from 1 species